UAUCCGGCUCCAGAAGCCACAUCUAUCGACUCUCAUAGAACGUAGAUGCCCCGUGCUGUAAAACAGAGGGAUUCAACACUCUUAAGGCUUUAAGCUCUACGCUAGUGCCUGUACUCCUCCACAACACCAGAUCAGUGUCAUCCCUUCAUCCCCCUAAACCCUCGAAAACCCUCGCUUCGUUGCUUUGUCUCCGACUCGAUUUGAGAAAAUAUGGCUUGGCGCUCAGGAUCGCUGUCUCGGUCGUUGAUUUCGACUGUUAGGUCCUCGUCGCUCCGCUCAUCACCGCCUCUCCCCCGCGUACGCUCGCCCCCUCUUGCCGCUCCACGCGUCCAGUCCCGCCGCUUCUCUUUCGCUACUGCUCCCAGGAACUUGGGAGAACUGGGAUGCACACAGUCACUCCUGCCACUGGGCAACAUGUUGGCUACGACCCGCCUCACAUCUCACCUUGCCGUCAACAUGCGGGCAUUUUGUGAGCUGUCCCAUGGGAGGAGUGGAAAAGACGGGUGAUGUACGAGGACUUUUGAUCAUCCCAAAGGCAGGGAGAAUGAUGCUUCACCUUAUAGUGUAGUAUUUCUAUCAUGUGACACUGAGGAGUAUCCAGCUUCAUAUUUUUUUGCCUCCCCCACAUAAGAAGAGUUGCCUUGUAAAUGAACCAUUGCCAUGUCAUGUACUUUCCGUCAUGUAAUUGUUAGCAAAAGCACCAUUUGGAAUUUUCUGACAUAAAAUUCAGGGAAGUAGUAACUGAAUGUUAAGCUAUGACCUGUUUAUACAUCUUCAAAAUAAAUUUCAUGUUUUCUAUGAACUUGGUGUGUUUCUUUCAUCAUAGUCAUGACUGAAAAGAACUUCAAAGAGUGGAUUUAUUCACUUGAACACCUUUUUCCCACACCCAAGCUUUUCUUUUCUUCUUUCUUUUUUCUUUCUUCUUUUUUUUUUUAGUUUGAAUUACAUAUCGAGCAUGUUUUACUUGGAGGGAAACAUUUUGUCAAGGCUAUCCUUGUGGUUUCUCUUUCCAACACUAAUCACUUGUCAUUUGGGAAGCAAGUAGUAUUAUCUUAGGGUCUAUUGGGCUUUGCCAAUGUUAUGGAAUCACUUGGUGCUGGUAAUCCUAAUUCCUUACACACAUGUUAUAUUCAUUUUCACAUGUCC